CGAGGUCUUGUGUGGCGAACCGAAGAUUAAUCCGAGGACUUGAUGAUCCCACUUACACAAUUAUUCGCGGCGCUAAAAUUAAAAAAAAAAAAAUUAGAUCUGUUAUUGCUGAAAAAAAAUUAUUAUAGAAACACAAUUUGCAUUUACACCGUUUUAAUUUUAAUUUUAUACCUACAGAAAAUAUAGAAGGCCACACUUGUUAUUGUUGCACGCAGAUCAAGUAAACGUAGCUUCAAAGAUAUUGGUUGGAAUCAAACACAAACCUUAGAGUAUGUAAUUCAAUAUAUAAUUUUAUUUACCAAAAAGCGGCAGAAUCAUUCGGGAAAAGUGGAGGUCUUUAACAGGAAACGGAACUGAAACGGAAAAGUUCUAAGCUGCUGCUGUACGGAUAUUUUGUACUUCAGUCGAAACAACUAUUCAAGCAGCCGAAUAGUAAAUAUAAGAUGAUGUAAAUUGCAAACACGUUCUAACAAACUGUGGCGCAUUCAGAGAAAGUAAAUUCAUAGCUCCCUCUUGAGGACACUAAAAAAUCGAAAACUGGUUUUAAAACUCUAAAAUUCUCCGGUCCCAGGACUCCAGUACGUUCAGUUCAUGGAUAUAAACAUAAAAAGCCGCUUUAUUGUCAAUUUUAAUACAUUUUGCAUUUUAUGCGAUUUGCAGGGCAACUGAAUAAUCCUUUUCUUUGUCAUAAAAAAGUUCACAGUACUAGGGAUGGCGAAACAAAAAAUAAUAAAACAAGUAAGAAAGCUACAGUCGAAAGUGGCCCACUUUAAGAUACCCGUUUUCAAUAAAAGCGAAACAUUGCAGUAAUUUUGCUACAAUAUACCAAA